AUAUUUUUCAAUAAAAAAAAAAAAAAUCUGUUCUUAUCAGUUUAAUAUCUGAUACGUCCCCUAUCUGGGGACCAUAUAUUAAAUGGAUUUUUGGAACAGGGAGAUGGAAGAAGAGCUUACUCUGUCCACUCCACGCAUCGACCUGGUAUUGCAGUACCUCCAGGACCGGUGCACCUCUC
rnacentral:snRNA from 1 species